UGGAUGGUGGCGGCCAUGGAGCCUUCUUUAAUCGCCUUCAGGGCGAUCUCGUCGGCGUUGAAACCCACCACCGGGAUGUCCGUGACGCCGCUCUUGCCGGCAUCGGCGAUCGCCUGGGCAGCGCCCACGGCCAUCGGGUCGUUGCAGGAGAACACGCCCGCCACAUCCGGAUUGGCGGAGAGGACGUCCUUCAUCAGGCUGUAGCCCAAUUCCUGCUUGCUGUUGCCGUUCAGGGAGGCGACCACUUCAUAGCCCAGCUCCUUGAUCCGCUUCUCGAAGUUGACGUUGCGCUGCCAGGCAUAGACGGCGGUGGGAUCGCAGGUGAUCGAGGCCACCUUCUUGGAGGUGUUCCCCGUCGUCUUGAUCAUCUUGUCCAGGUAAUCAGCGCCCAUGACGCCGCCUUCGGCGUUGUUGGAGAUGACAAUAACGUCGUAGGCCGUGCCGCCGCCGCCGAUGUCAUCCACAACCACGGGAUGCCCUUCUUCUUGGCUGCAUCCACCAGGGGUCCCAUGGCAUCUGGUUUGACCGGGGAUAUAAUCAGGGCAUCGAUGCCCUGGUUGAUCAGGUCUUGCGUGGCCGAGACCAUGGUGGCCUCGCUGCUCUUCUGAUCGACCAGGACAUAGUCAUAGCCCGCCGCCUCUGCAGCUUCUUUCGUGCCCCUCUCCAUAUCCUGGAAAAAGCCGUACUGCAUGUCGUAGACGGAGAAACCAAUCUUCUUCUUGGCCGUGGCCUCUGGCGUCGCCGGGGCGGCGCAGGCCGUGAUUGCCACGGCCAGGAUCAAGAGCGCCAGCAAACUGGCGACUGUGUUUUUGCGAAACAUGUUCUCACUCCUUGGGUAAAGUAACGAACGGACAAUGUGGGCGCCUUGGGCGCACUAAGAUUAGGAGACGUUCUGCAGUUCGUUUCUUGGCACCUCCUUGGUGGCCAAAAGCCGAUGGCCUUGCACGGAGUCAGGCGCUGCGGCUCAUGCGCUCCUCGACCCGCUGCCGAAUUCCUUCAAUUGAAAGGGCCACAAGCAAAACAAGGCCCUCAACCACACGCUGCCAGAAGGCAUCAGCAUGGAAAAGGUUGAGUACGUUGGCAAGCGUGGCAAACAAAAUCGCCGCCGCCACGGUGCCCAGCAUGCCGCCGCGCCCUCCCGCCAGCCGGGUGCCGCCGAGGACCACAGUGGCGAUCACUCGCAGCUCGAAGCCGGGCUCCAGGCCCGGACCGGCAGAGUAGAGCCGGGCGCCCAGCAGAACAGCCGCAAUUCCGGCAAAGAGGCCGAUGACGGUGAAGACCGUACCCGUCAGGCGCUGCACCGGCACGCCGGCCAGGUUGGCAGCCGUCGUGUUGGAACCGGUGGCGUAGACAUAGCGGCCAAACGGGGUGAAACGCAGCACCCCUUCGCCAACAAGAGCGCAGACGAUAAAAACGAUGAACGGCACCGGCAGCCCCAGAAUCACGCCGUUGCCCAUCCACACGAAGUUAGGGGCGUUGUAACGAUAGGCCUCGCCGCCGGUCAGGAUCAAGGUAAAACCGGCAAUGACGAACAUCAUGCCCAACGUGGCAAUAAAAGCAGGGAUACGAACCCGGCUGACCAGAAAGCCGUUGAUCGUUCCUACGAUCAUGCCGACGACAAGACCGACGAUGAUGGAGGGAAUCACGCCGAAAUGGGCUCCGGUCCACACCGCUGCUGUUGCACACAGCGCCAGGUUCGAUCCUACGGACAGAUCGAAGGUUCCGGAGAUAAUGGCAAUGGUCAUCCCCACCGCCGCCACGCCCACAAAGCUGGCAGACAUCAGGACAUUCUGCAGGUUGUCGAUCGUCGCAAAGUUGGGCGUGAAGAGUGCGGCGAAAAUCCAGGUGCCCACGAGCACAGCGCUGAUGCCAUAUUUCUCCCAGAGCAGGGCCCAGUUCCGUGUUCUGCGACCUUCCGAUCGCCUGACCUCAGUUGCCGUGCUCAUGCAGCCCUCCGUGUCAGUGCGGCGAUCUGGUAUUUGCGUUCGACUCCCAACGCCAGGGUAAUCAGCAGCAGGAGUCCGAUGGUGACCUGCUGGUAGAGCACGGAGACAUUCAGCAGGUUGAGCCCAUUGUUGAUCAUGGCCACCAGAAGACUGCCCAGCAGCGUGCCGACCAACGACGCCCGCCCACCCGUCAGGGCCGUUCCGCCCACGACGACCACCGCGAUAGCCGAAAGCUCCAGCCCCACGGCGAUUCGGGCGCUCGCAGUGACCACCUGGGCGCUGUAGAUCUGGCCCGAAAGCGCCGCACAAGCGCCGACGAUGAUGAAUAUACCCCAGAGGACCUUAUUGACUGGGACACCGGAGCGUCUGGCUGUGUUGACGUUGCUGCCUACCGCCAGGAUGUAGCGACCAAAGCGGGUGUGCUUGACGACCAGUCCGAGCACCGCGGCAAUGACAAGGGCCAUAAUGACCGGCAUCGGAAUGCCGAGAAUAUGCCCACCGGAGAGUACUUUGUACCCCGGAUAGCCCUGGAGGUACAGGUCGCGGCCGUCGGUAUAGAGCAGCGUGGCGCCGCGCACAAUACUCGAAACCGCCAGCGUGGCAAUGAACGCCGGCACUCGCAGCUCGGUAAUGAUGAGGCCGUUACCCAGCCCAAUGAACGCUCCCACGAUGACUCCGGCGACGAUCCCUACUGGAACGCCGAACAGGGGCACAAGAGUAAAGGCAAUGCAGGCCGAGAAGGCGGCGGUGGCGCCAACCGAGAGGU
rnacentral:misc_RNA from 1 species